CGGGAGCGCGCCCGGGCGGGCUGCCCCGCCGGUCGGGAGAGGGGGUGGGGAGGCGGCGAGGAAAAGUAAAGUGACAGCUGGGUCCCGCGCGCAGACUGGGCUCUGACGGGGACGGACUCUUCUUGCUCUGUUGCCCAGGCUGAAGUCCAGUGGUGCAAUCCCAGCUCACUGCAACCUCCGCCUCCCGGGUUCAAGUGAUUUUCCUGCCUCAGCUUCCUGAGUAGCUGGGACUACAGGCAAGAGAAAGAGGCCCACUGCAAUAUGCUGUGAAGAAUACAUAAGAAGUCAAACUGUUGACCUCUUUUCCCCAGCCCGUUCCAAAACUACAUCCCUGAGGAGUUGUGCACCUCUACGGAAAGUUCAGAUGAAAGAGCUAAUUCCCCUUGAUCUCUCUUCUUGUUCAGAGUGGAGGAAAAACAUAUACCAUCCCUUCCAUCAAUCCUCAGCAUAACUUUGCCAGGGACACUGGUAACAAGCUACUUUUACCUCAGAAGUUGGAGAGUAUCACUUGACCCACAUUGUGUAUGUGUAAAUAUCUUUAUUCAGUGUAUAUACAAUAUAUUCUUAAUUUGACUCUCAAAGUUUAUAAUUAGCAUUGAAUGAGUAUGAAACAUUGUUUUCCAAAUACUGUCAGCAAGCUAUUGAAUAUGUUGUUCCUGAUUUAUGAAUGAGAUUUUCAUCAGCAGAAACUUAUGACAAAUGACCAAUUACAUUGUCACUGCUAAGUUCCAAGAGCAUUUCUUUCAGUUAUGCUAUUUAGAGUAUAAACAUCAUACUGAAUUAUUAUUAAACUCCACUCAAAAUUUUUAAUUAAGCCAUCCACAUCAUCUAAGUCUUUUCCCUUCCCCUUCUGUGAACCUUCUUUUUUGAGACAGGGUCUCAGUCUGUCACCCAGGUUGGUGGGCAGUGGUGCGAUGUUGACUCAUUGCAACCUCCACCUCCUGAGUUCAAGUGAUUCUCCUGCCUCAGCCUGCUGGGACUACAGGUGUGCACCACCACUCCCAGGUAAUUUUUGUAUUUUUUGGUAAAGACGGGGUUUCCCUGUAUUUGGCCAGGCUGGUCUCAAACUCCUGACCUCAAGUGUUCUGCCCACCUUGGCCUCCCAAAGUUCUGGGAUUACAGGCAUGAGCCACUGCACCUGGCCUCCAUAAACCAUUUUUUAAUCUGUUAUUUUUAUUUUCCUCUUUCUCUGCUCUUAACCCUCAGUCACAGAAUCAUGUUGCAGGGAGGGCAGGUAGGGGAAAAAGAAAAAGGAAAGGCUACAGCUUGAGUCUAAUUUGUCUCAAUCUAGGAUUCAGAAUGUCAGGUAUGUACUGAGGGUGGUAGAGCAAGCUCUUAGGG
rnacentral:lncRNA from 1 species